CAGUAGCCGCGGGAAUACGAAGGGGGCUAGCGCUGCUCGGAAUCACUGGGCGUAAAGGGUGCGUAGGCGGGUCUUUAAGUCAGGGGUGAAAUCCUGGAGCUCAACUCCAGAACUGCCUUUGAUACUGAAGAUCUUGAGUUCGGGAGAGGUGAGUGGAACUGCGAGUGUAGAGGUGAAAUUCGUAGAUAUUCGCAAGAACACCAGUGGCGAAGGCGGCUCACUGGCCCGAUACUGACGCUGAGGCACGAAAGCGUGGGGAGCAAACAGGAUUAGAUACCCCCGUAGUCCCUGUCUCUUAUAC
rnacentral:rRNA from 1 species